rnacentral:tRNA from 1 species
UCCCUGGAGGUCCAGUGGUUGGGACUCUGCGCUUCCAAUGCAGGGGGCGGAGGUUCAGUUCCUGAUCAGGGAA